rnacentral:lncRNA from 1 species
UGAAGCGCGCUUGAAUGUAAACACAAAUAUUUUAAUUUUUCGAGUCAUAGCCACACACGUGCCAAUUCCGCAUCCAAUCCAUUUUGCUACGCACACUUAAGAUGGCGGCUGCGUGAAAACAGCUGAUCGGUUCUGUGGGCCGCUCUUGGUGUAUUUUUGUCCGUAACGUGAUUAGAUGAAAUCUCGCCGUACGAGGUACUUUCGCCCGAGAAGAAUUCUGGAAGCUGUGAACAUCAUGAAGACUGUGAAAGCGUAGUGCUCGGAUACGGAAGAAUCGAUGAAGGUUGGAAGGCAUCUCAACAGAUAGCUGGAAGACGGGAGGCGGAAAGUUGGGCGGCCUGGAGGGCCGCGUGCUUGACGCACAUGGGCGAACCGGCCCAGCUUCCGCCCCUGUGGAUUUUUUCCGUGGCGACUCCGAGGUGAGUAGCAAUGUUCGUUGCUAUGUGUACCGAUGUCGGGCAGUUACACCGUGGUGAAUAUUUUGCCGUUGUGUGCUUGUUUUCUUACAAUUCAACACACAUGCCAGCACAUGAUAUCCGUACUCUGCAAGAACGGAAAUGCUGCCCCACUGCUGUUAAGAAACACCUUGUGGUGGAUUUCAUGGCUCGUUAAUCCGAAAAGCAUUAGCAACGAGUUGUCAAAGCUCCAAGUCACUAGUAUGUCGCAUGCUGGAUUAAGAAUUUUCUGAUUUAAAAACUAUAAGUGAAAUAGACAUUGCAACCAGUUGAUGGAACUUAAUCACAUUAUGUCCUGUACUUUAUUGUUCCAGGAGGACACCUCCAGUGAAGAGGAGCCGCAUGCCGAUGUGCCCCCUGCCCCACC